rnacentral:rRNA from 404 species
GGCGGCAGUAGCGCGGUGGUCCCACCUGACCCCAUGCCGAACUCAGAAGUGAAACGCCGUAGCGCCGAUGGUAGUGUGGGGUCUCCCCAUGCGAGAGUAGGGAACUGCCAGAC